rnacentral:rRNA from 1 species
GGGUUAAGUCCCGCAACGAGCGCAACCCCUAUGUAGUUGCCAUCAUUCAGUUGGGCACUCUAGCGAGACUGCCGGUAAUAAACCGGAGGAAGGUGGGGAUGACGUCAAAUCAUCAUGCCCCUUAUGACCUGGGCUACACACGUGCUACAAUGGUUGGUACAACGAGUUGCGAGUCGGUGACGGCGAGCUAAUCUCUUAAAGCCAAUCUCAGUUCGGAUUGUAGGCUGCAACUCGCCUACAUGAAGUCGGAAUCGCUAGUAAUCGUGAAUCAGAAUGUCACGGUGAAUACGUUCCCGGGCCUU